rnacentral:tRNA from 1 species
GCCCAGGUGGUGAAAUUGGUAGACACGCUAGGUUCAGGGUCUAGUGUCCUUACGGAUGUGCUGGUUCGAGUCCAGUUCUGGGCA